GAAAGAUGUGCACCCCCUUUCUACAGACUGAGGCCAUUCAAGAAACUGUCUACGAUAGGUAAGGUGAUUAUUUUAAAUUUUUACAUUUAAAAAUGGCCCAAAAAUCCCCUUUAAUUUCAGAGUUACCAUUAUCCUUGCCACCUUUUGACUGAUUCCAUGAACACAUGGUUCGUUUAGCCUAAAGCCGACUCUGGCUGUGUGUGUGGCCCUAUUUGUUUAUGCGAGUCUGUGCUUUCACGACCAUAACUGUAAUUGAAAGACCUUGAUUUAUAGGUAAUCCUUGGCUUUGCUCUCACCGUGAACCUCACAGGGAGCAGCGCUGGCUGUCAGCCUCAUGUGUCCUUGAGUCAAAGCUGUGUGCCGUCCUUGACACGUACACCUCUCCCCAUCUCUUUCUCUCUUACCGUGCCACCAUAUUAAAGAAACAACCUCUAUAUACGCACAAGCACUCACUACUGAUGUGAUUAUAUUCUGCUGACAGAGCACAGAUACAAUUAUAUUGGUAAAAUGUUUAUUUCUAACACAUGGAGGAGCUCUGUAAUUACAUUUUGGGGCCAUGUGGUGUGUAAAGAAAAUAGUGCACUUGUAGAACUAGUUUACCAUAAGUAGUCAGAUGAUUCACUCUAGCCCAUGUAAGUAUUUCUUUGUGUGCAGGCAGUUUGCCUUAUAUAGAAGAAGAUGGUCUUCAGUUAUCUAAAGCUAAUAUGGUGAAGGUAUGGAUUGGUUCAUCCAUUCUGAGGAGAUUCUAUCCCCUCCUUCCAUGGGAGUGGAAAAUGUACCCCAAGGUAAAUAAAAUAAGUUGUUUGGACAUUGCUCGGGGGAUUUUCCUUUGGCUGGAUUUCCUGAUGCAUCGAACCUGUACUGAUGUGGACUCUUUAACCCUCCUGCUGUCCUAAUGGGUGUGACCCCGUGAGGAAAGUUGACCAUUGAGCAGAGUUGAUGGUUUAUCUCUCGAGGUCCAUGUGGCAGGGGUGAGGAGUGAGCACCACUUCACCCCUGCCACAUGGACCUCAAGGGAUAAACCAUCAAUCCUGCUCAAUGGUCAACUUUCCUCACGAGGUCACCCAUUAGGACAAUGGGAGGGUUAACAAAGUUUUCUGAUGUCAAAGAGUCUGCCUCAGGAAGCCUUUCUUCAGAGCAUACUUGUCGGCUGACAACCCCAGACUGAACUGACGACAACCUCCAGCAGCUUCAUUCAGUCGUACCGUGUUUUUGCUGCUCAAACCUGACCAAAACAAGGGCAGCAUCCCAAUAGGGCCUCCGAGGCAAUCCUCCCCCCGGCCACGUCCUCGGCUGGGACACUCAGACGUUCCCUGGCCAACCUAAAGAUGCAUUUCCUUCAGGUAGUCCUGGGUCGACCUGGGAGCCUCCUGCCGGCAAGACAUGCCCAAACACCUUCCGAAGGAGGCGUCCAGGAGGCAUCCUGACCAGAUGCCCGAAUCGCCUGAACUGGCUCCUUUCAACGCAGAGGAGCAGUCUUUGUUUUUAGGUCAUGUACUGCUGACUUCAUCCCAACAGGUUCCAACAGAAACUGUGGGACAGAGCGACAUCUAGUGGUGGUGAUCACACUUCACCAUCUCCCAUCUGCCUCUUGAUUUGAUUCUUCUGUUUGUUUUUCAUUUUAAAAAUAAAGCAGUCAGACAAAUAUGCAGAAUAGUUCAUGUUGUUUUGUUAAUUGAAUAAACAAUGUUAAACUGAAAAUGUCUAAACUUACUUCUGCAAAACAUAUUUCUGUCUAAAAUAUGAACAAAUCAAAGAGAAAUGCUACAUCUGGCUGCAGAGCUCUAAAUCACUUUCUAACUAAACUAAUCAGGUAAACAACCAAGAAAACACAAGUUAUUUCUUUUUAAGUGCCACAAGGGUCGGUUCUUGGACCUGUUCAGUUUGUUUAUUUGUUUAUUAAUGACCUGGUAAAUGUAUCUGAGCUACUCGGUUCUGUUCUGUUUGCAGUUUAAAAGUUUAAACCUGGUUUGAUAUAAACAGAUUAACACUUAAUCUUAAAAAAACUAAUUUUAUUUUAUUUUAUGACAGGGGAAACAUUGAUGUAUCAUUGAAAAUAGGCAGCAUGGAAAUUCAAAGGGUAAAGGACACCAAAUUUUUGUUCUGAUUGAUGAAGCUCUAACCUGGAAAUCACACAUUGGUUAUAUAAAAGGUAAAGUGGCCAAAGCCGUUGCAGUAUUACAUAAAGUAAAAUCUUUACUGAAUAGCGCUGGGCUGUUAUCAUUGUACAAUGCACUGAUGCAUCCAUAUUUAAUUUGUUGUAUAGAAAUCUGGGGAACUGCAUAUAGAACUUAUACACAACCAUGGUUUAUUUAGCAGAAAAGAGCUUUGAGAAUUGUUAAUAAUAAUCACAGUAGAGUUACAUCUAACCUGUUAUUUAUAAAAUAUAAAGUAAUGAAAUUUCAUGAUUUGGUCAUCUGGAGAAUUUUGCAUACAAUGUAUAAAGCUAAUAUUGGUACAUUGCCAAAAAAAAUUCUGCGAUUGUUUGAAAAGAGGGAAAGUAGUUAAAUGUUGAAAGAAGCUGAAGUCUUCGAAAAACCCAGAUUUAGAACCAGAAUGAAGGAAAUGAAUAUUUCUGUGAAUUGUGUGAAAUCAUGGAAUUGGCUGGACAGAGAAGUAAAAGUGUUUAGAGAAAAUAUUAGAUCGAGUGUGUUGGGUGGAUAUGAAUGUGAAUAAUGUCUGUGGCUAUAAUUGAAAUAUGGUCUGAGAACGUGACAGAAUGAACUUCGUGGGAUAAAGACAGUUUUGUUAUUUUUGUUUACAAAAAGGGGGCAAAAAUUGUACGAUUUUUUCUUCCAUCAGCUCUCUUUCAUUCACGUUGUAUUGUGUUUGUAUGCAUAGUGUUUAUUUAUUUGUUGUGUUUUUUAUUGAAUGAAAUAAAUAUGAGAAAAAAAUCUGAUUCAUAUAAAGUGUCUCACUUGGGGUUUUUAAUGUGAAACUAGAUAACUGUAUUUUCUGUUAACACAUGUAUGUACACACGUGGGAAUCAGCCCACUUUUUACACACGUGGGAAUCAGCCCACUUUGCUGAGGUUUGGCUCAGCACCAGAGCCUUGACCGACGUUGUCCUGAUGACGUGAACGUCACAACCAAGGCUGAGAUUACUGACAUGGAGGGAAACCACAGCCACAUGCUGUCUUUACACUUACUUCAUUAUCCAGAAUGUGGUCUAAACAGACAUCACAUUUAUGCAAAUGUAUAUAAAUGAUAUAUUUAUGCAAACAUAUAUAAAAGAGUUAGUUUAAUGUUAUGAACUGGAGGCAAAAGUUAGAAAAGUUGCAUGAGUCUUUGAGUCUGUUCCCAAGCAGACUGCAGUUUUGCGAUAGGGCCGCAGCUCCUGAUAAGGGCUGUUUCACCUAAAGAGCUUAUCUCCUGAAGG